CUGUUCUAGUAAUUUACAGGUCAAAACAGGAUUAAGGAACGGCGAUGCGGCUCAGCUUUCCUAACCCCCGUUUCUGCUAAGCCCUUGACUGUAAAGCCUCCCAAAGACACAAAAUGUCUUGUUUUUUUCUUUGUUUGUUAAAUUUCACUUCUUUCUGAACAUUCUGUGCUGGGCCUUUUUUUUUCCCUUCUUCUUCUAAAAGGAUUACUGCACUAGGGCCCGGCAUUCCAGAGGCCUGACGUUGGGACCAGCAGCUGGGUCCGUGCUCCCACUGCUGUCAGACCGGCAUUGCCAAGAUCCUUAUUAUUUCUGCUCCGCAUUUUCUCAGAAUCCCAGAGGGGAGGAAACUGGAGCAGAAAGGAGCCAGAUGCUCAGGAUCACAGAGCGAGCUGGACAUGGAACUGGAAUCCAGGUGAUAAGGCGGCAGCAGCUGAGCUAGGAGUCACGUGACUGUUCUGCCUUCUCCUGCCUGGCAUGGAUUUUAAGAAUGAGGAAGUCAAGCACCAGAGAGGUGAAGACGACAGGGCCAAUAAGGGUCAGCACUGAGUUUUAAACUAAAACCUUUGCACUAUCCAAUGUCUGUGCAACUUUUUCACAAGCUAAGGGACAGAAGAAUUGCAGCAAAAUUAUUGUCCAGUGAGAUUAGGACAGAAAGUAUCUGUUAGAUUUGGCAGCAUGGAGAUCCCUGGGGAGUUAGGAAGGUCAGUUACAGUGGUGUGAUGGGGUGGAGGUCUGGUGGUAAAGUCUUGAAGAGUGAAUGGUAGGCAGGAGUUUAGAUGGUCCUUUCAGGAAGUUUGACUAAAGAGGGAAAGUGAGAGAUGGGAGAGCAGCUAAAAAGAGAGAGAUAAAAAUGCUCAAAAAUUAUUUUUUUGUUAAGAGGGGAAAACUUGCAUGUCUUUGCAUGCUGACAGUAAAUCCAAGGAUGGGGGUUAUGCUGGUGGAGAACUAGCUUUCAGUCUGCUGUGAAUUUGGUUAAUUGGAAUCAAGGUCUCUGGGUCUGGAUGACUUGAACCUCCUGUGAGCCAGUGACGUCACCCCAAAGGGAGCAUAUGGGGAUGGGAAGAUCUUGAUUGUCUUGCUUGAACUGCAAACAUAGCCACAGACCCCAUGGGUUAUUGUUCUGCUAUGAACAGUCUUCUAAAUUUGUAUGAUAACAUCACAUCGAAACUUUUAUCUUCAUUUGUAAUCUAAGAACUACAAAUAUAGAUAGCUGAGUUAUCAUACCCCUAGGACCAAAGAUUUGAAACCAUGAGAAUUCACUGCUGGUGAGAAGACAAUUGGG
rnacentral:lncRNA from 1 species